UGGCGGACGGGUGAGUAAUGUCUGGGAAACUGCCCGAUGGAGGGGGAUAACUACUGGAAACGGUAGCUAAUACCGCAUAACGUCGCAAGACCAAAGAGGGGGACCUUAGGGCCUCUUGCCAUCGGAUGUGCCCAGAUGGGAUUAGCUUGUAGGUAAGGUAACGGCUUACCUAGGCGACGAUCCCUAGCUGGUCUGAGAGGAUGAUCAGCCACACUGGGACUGAGACACGGCCCAG
rnacentral:rRNA from 1 species